AGGUAAGGAGCAAUGGCUGUGCUUUGCUGGAGCAGCCGUGAAGAGAUACCCCACGCCCAAGAAAUAAGAAGAUCGAGACCCAGAGAGGAAAGGCUUUUGCCCACAUCCCACAGAGAGAAGGUUCCUAAGCUGGAUCAAGAUCUUAGCUUGACUAACUUCAUUGCUAAAAAAGUCCCAAACUCCUUCCAUUGUAGACCUUAGGUACUGUGUGAGAUGCUGAAGAUAUAUAAAUGGCCCCAGACCCUGGGAAGUUUUUUGGAGGAACGGAAGCAAUGCAGAACAAUGCUAGGAAGAGAAGAAAUAUGUGGACAUGCAUUUCUUGGUUGCUGAAAAUUUUGGUGGAAAAGGAGAGGAAAGAUGGAGUUAGCUGAGCCAAGCUUCCUGGAGAAAGGGAGCUUUGGGUCCCAGUUUGGGAUGAAAGCAUAAAGUCUUGUAUCUGUCACUGUGCCUGUAUGUAUGAGUUUCAUCUUUUAUAGAAUUGUCUGUAUUGGGUAUGCUCACAGUCUAUAUGGGAUGAUAAUCAUUUUCCUCAUUUGGUAAUAAACAUGAGUAACUGUGAAGC